AAUAGAUACCCUGGUAGUCCACGCCGUAAACGAUGAGUGCUAAGUGUUAGAGGGUUUCCGCCCUUUAGUGCUGCAGCUAACGCAUUAAGCACUCCGCCUGGGGAGUACGGUCGCAAGACUGAAACUCAAAGGAAUUGACGGGGGCCCGCACAAGCGGUGGAGCAUGUGGUUUAAUUCGAAGCAACGCGAAGAACCUUACCAGGUCUUGACAUCCUCUGACAACUCUAGAGAUAGAGCGUUCCCCUUCGGGGGACAGAGUGACAGGUGGUGCAUGGUUGUCGUCAGCUCGUGUCGUGAGAUGUUGGGUUAAGUCCCGCAACGAGCGCAACCCUUGAUCUUAGUUGCCAGCAUUUAGUUGGGCACUCUAAGGUGACUGCCGGUGACAAACCGGAGGAAGGUGGGGAUGACGUCAAAUCAUCAUGCCCCUUAUGACCUGGGCUACACACGUGCUACAAUGGAUGGUACAAAGGGCUGCAAGACCGCGAGGUCAAGCCAAUCCAUAAAACCAUUCUCAGUUCGGAUUGU
rnacentral:rRNA from 1 species